UACGAAGGGGGCUAGCGUUGCUCGGAAUCACUGGGCGUAAAGGGUGCGUAGGCGGGUCUUUAAAUCAGGGGUGAAAUCCUGGAGCUCAACUCCAGAACUGCCUUUGAUACUGAGGAUCUUGAGUUCGGGAGAGGUGAGUGGAACUGCGAGUGUAGAGGUGAAAUUCGUAGAUAUUCGCAAGAACACCAGUGGCGAAGGCGGCUCACUGGCCCGAUACUGACGCUGAGGCACGAAGGCCAGGGGAGCAAACGGG
rnacentral:rRNA from 1 species